AGACAAGGUUGUUCCUUGUCUGGAAUGUUGUACUCUUUGGCUAUUGAGCCACUUCUUCAACAGAUAAGAAUACAUUUAAGUGGUUUGUGUUUACCAAAUUGUAAUAACAAUAUUCAUUUGUCAGCUUAUGCUGAUGAUGUUGUGGUGUUGAUUCAUAAACAAAGUGAUGUACACUCUUUACUUAACUUAAUCAAAGAUUUUAAAAAUUUGUCUUCUGCUAAGGUUAACUGGCAAAAAAAAGUAAUGCUUUAUUGUUGGGUCAGUGGUCUAAUGGGAUACCUUGUCUGCCUGAUGGGUUGUGUUGGGGCAGGGGAGGCUUAAAAUAUUUAGGAGUCUAUUUGGGAGAUGAUAGUGUUUUUUUACAGAAAAAUUGGGAGGGGGUAUUGGAAAAAGUCAAAGGGCGCUUGGAUAAAUGGAAAUGGUUACUUCCAAAUAUGUCCUACAGAGGGCGGGCUCUUAUUGUCAACAAUCUAGUCGCUUCCUCACUUUGGCAUAGAUUGGCUUGUGUAGACCCUUCUUCACAGUUUUUAUCUGAAGUUCAAGCCACUCUUGUGAAUUUUUAUUGGGUUCCCCAGAGUAUUUUAUACCUCCCCAAAGAAGAAGGUGGACAAGGUUUAAUUCAUUUACAAAGUAGAGUUGCUGCUUUUCGUUUACAGUUUGUACAAAGAUUUUUGGAUGGUUCAACAAAUUGUAGCUGGUGUUCUGCUACCUGCACAAUUCUGCGUACAGUUGGAGGUUCGGGACUGGAUAAAUCACUCUUUUUAAUGGAUCCCACAAAGUUGGAUUUAUCGUAACUGCCUAUUUUUUAUCAGAAUCUCUUCAAAGUGUGGAGUUUUUUUUGUGUCCGUCAGACUGAGAAUUUUUUCUCUCUUCACUGGUUAUUACUGGAGCCAUUGAUUCUCGGGGCCCGUUUGGACAUUACUGCACGAAGUAACCUACAAGGAUUUAGCACCUCUCUUCGGCAAUCCAGGAUUUUCACUUUGGGACACUUAUUGACUAUAACUUGGGCCUCACUUUGAACAGGUGGAGGCAACUUCCAAGCGGUUGGGUAUUAGAUCUAUCCGCUUGCUCGCACAGUUUUUAACAAAGUUAAGACUCUGUUUUACAGUUGAAGAAGACCAGAUGUUGAAGGAUUUUUUUGCAGGGAUUAGUGUUCCUGAUCCGGAGGAUCCCUUUCCCUGUUUAUUCGUGCAACCCAUUCUUGAUGAGAAUAUAGGCUUUAGUUUUCUUUUAAAAUCACAUGAAUCUUUGGUUUUAGAUUUCUUAUCAUGUGAAGGUAAAAAACUGUAUAGAACUUGUGUUUUGGUCUUUAUCAAGAAGUCUUUGGUUAGCAGAAUCGAUACACCAUGGCAUUCAGUUUUCAGUUUGAAAAAUGAUGUAAAACCCGAAUGGAGAUCUUUGUAUAAGCCACCAUUGUCAAAGAGGGUAGGUGAUAUACAAUGGAGGGUUUUGCAUGGUGCCAUUGCUGUUAAUUCUUUUAUCUCAGUGAUGAACCCAGAAGUUGAUCCUGGAUUCCCUUUUUGUCUUCAAAGAGAGACUAUUUUUCACAUGUUCAUGCACUGUUUUAGAUUACAGCCUUUAUUUGUGAAGCUUAAGGAAUUGUUUGGUAGGUUCAAUUAAAAUUUUUCAACUGAGACUUUUAUUAUGGGUUCUAAAUAUUUCCAGAAAAAACGUUUUGUUUGUAAAUUGUUGAAUUUCAUUUUAGGACAAGCAAAGCUGGCUGUGUAUAUUAGGUGGAAAAAUAACAUUCAGCAAAGGUCUAGCAAUGAUGUUUAUGUGUGUUUUCUGGCUUUGGUCAAAUCGAGGGUAUUGAUCGACUUUAAUUUUUAUAGAGCCAUGGAAGAUCUUUUAACUUUUGAACAAAUUUGGUGUAGUCAUGGUGCUUUGUGCACAAUAUCCGAAAAUGAGUUCGUGUUUUUCUUAUAAUCCCAUAGUGUUAUCUUUUCUUUAAUGUGCUUGCUGUAUGUUUUAAGUCAUUUGUGCAGUGUGUUUUGAGCAUUUGUAAAUAAAGCUUUUUUCAAAAUCAAAAAAUCUCUCAAAAUCAAAUAAAAAAUAAACUAACAAUUAAACAUUUAAACUUUGUGUGCUUUAAUCGCUUUCACAGUUCUGUCAAAUUAAUGGAAGAUAUAGUAAAAAUUUGCACAAUCAGUCGCAGUAAAUGGAGAAAGUCAUCUGCUCAGCCUUAAUUAUGUCAUUCUUAAACAUUUUGAGUAAAUGUUGUAUUAAAUUAAAGUAGAGAACCUAUUGAUCCAUAUUAUACCACUAUAUUCACAAAUCAAAUUAGAAACCAUAAGUAAAAUUUUGAUUUGUUGUUGUGAUGUGUUAGGUUGCUAGCUGCAAAGUGGCUACUUUGCUCACUUGCUAAUGUUGAUGUGGUUUAAGGCUAUAUUUCUGCUCUUCCUCUGAAACAGGAAGAAGCAGAGACACUGCAAGAAGUGACCAGAUCCUGUCAUGCACAUGCACUCUGCUGUAGACAUGAUUUACCCUCUGAUUCUCUCUGGAAUUUUACUUCACAUCACAGGUCAACUUCUGACAGCCGAUGAAAAUGGUUGAAUAUGUAAAAUAUAUUUUUAUAUCUCAAAAUCAACUUAUUGUAUAACUGAUACAACUAGUUUCUCAAAAAGUGAAAUGAUCAUACAUAAUCUUCUCAAGCAAAGAGAGAAAGAGCUCUAGUGAGCAUCAGUGUCAAAAUAUGCUAAUUUGUGAUUGAUAAAACUUAAUACACUUGCCACCCAGAUCCCGUUAUUAGUGGAACAGAGAUGUAAAUAAAAGUGUGAUGUAACUUAAAGAAGUGUGGAAGUGCAUCAGUUACUAACUUUGUGUGUUAAAAUGCAGUUAUUGUGAUUGGUUUGCUCAGUAAACUUUGCUGCUGUCUGGUUGACCAAGGCUUCAACUCUAAUGAAACACACCUGAACAAGCUAAUCAAGGUCUGAAGGGUUACUAGAAAGCUACAGGCAGAUCUACUCUAAACCUGAAGAUCCACCGAUAUACAGCACUAUAAAUGAUGAAAACCCAAAUGAUCUCAACAAGGACAUAAUCUACUACAGUACUAUUGAUGAUGUUCCUGGGAGUGAAGCAGUGAGGCCUCCAGCAGGCGGAGCGAUAUACAGCAUAAUAUACAGCACUGUGGAUCCACACUGACUGCAACAGUGAAGAACUCAGGAACAGAACCUUCUGACCAUGAGAAACAAAAUCAGGAUCAGAGGACUGUCAUCACAACUUUUUUGUAGUUUUUUGUAUUAUCUGCUUAUAAUUUCUUCACUGUAAGUUUACUUGUACAGUUUUAUGUUGUUUGCAUUAAUACAAACAAGCAUGGGCC
ensembl:lncRNA